AGAGCACUGACUGGCCUAGGGCGGUCUACCGUACCAAAGCCUAUCAAACUCCGAAUGCCAAAAAAUCAGAUCAUGGAGUCAGACUUAGAGGGAUAAGCUCCUAAGUCGAAAGGGAAAGAGCCCAGACCGACAGCUAAGGUCCCAAAAUCUGAAUUAAGUGGAAAAGGAUGUGAACCUACUAAGACAACCAGGACGUUGGCUUAGAAGCAGCCAUACAUUUAAAGAAUGCGUAAUA
rnacentral:rRNA from 1 species